CUAAGAGCCAUUGGUGGAUGAUUAGGCGCUUAAAGACGAUGAAGGACGUGGUAAGCUGCGAUAAGCCUCGGGGAGUUGCAAACAAACGUUGAUCCGAGGAUUUCCGAAUGGGGCAACCUUAUCCCGACUUCGGGAUAAAUCCUGUCUGAAUACAUAGGAUAGGAUAGUUAGACGGGGAGAAUUGAAACAUCUUAGUACCCCCAGGAGAAGAAAGAAAAUCGAUUCCGUUAGUAGCGGCGAGCGAAGACGGAACAGCCUAAACCUAUAAGAUGUCAAGCUUCGAGGCGUUGUCUUAUGGGUGUCGAGGGGCUCAACGGUCGAGGUCUCGAAACCUCGACGGGAAGAAAUCUUGUUCAAUUUCAGCAAAACGGCCUGGAACGGCCGGCCCAAGAAGGUGAUAGUCCUGUAUGCGAAGAAAUUGAGCACUUCUCGGUUGAGUACCCCAAGUAUUUCGCGAUAAGUGGAACCGCGUGAGAAUCCGGGAGAACCACCUCCUAAGGCUAAAUACUCUUAAGCGACCAAUAGUGAACAAGUACCGUGAGGGAAAAUUGAAAAGAACCCCUGUUAGGGGAGUGAAAUAGAACCUGAAACCAAUCGGCUUACAGGCGGUGGAAGGGCUAUGCCGAAAUCUUCGGAUUUCGGAAUGCCUGACUGCGUGCCUUUUGCAUAAUGAUCCGGCGACUUAUUGGAUGUGGCGAGGCUAAGCACCUGAGGGUGUGGAGCCGUAGCGAAAGCGAGUCCGAAACGGGCGCUUAGUCCCAUACAAUAGACCCGAAGCUGAGUGAGCUUACCAUGGCCAGGAUGAAGCGAGGGUAAAACCUCGUGGAGGUCCGAACAGGUGUAGGUUGAAAACUGCUCUGAUGAGCUGUGGUAAGGGGUGAAAGGCCAAUCAAACUCAGUAAUAGCUGGUACUCCUCGAAACAUCUUUAGGGAUGGUCUGGUGCAGUAGCCAACAGAGGUAGAGAACUCGAUGGGCUAGGGAACUUACCGGUUUACCGAACCCAAUGAAACUCCGAAUGCUGUUGGUGUAAUCACCGGAAUCAGUCCGUGGGGGAUAAGCUUCACGGUCGAGAGGGAAACAACCCAGAUCGCCGACUAAGGUCCCUAAAUCAAAGCUAAGUGGUAAAGGAUGUGAGAAUACAUAGACAACCAGGAUGUUGGCUUAGAGGCAGCCAUCAUUUAAAGAGUGCGUAACAGCUCACUGGUCAAGUGUUCUCGCGCCAAAAAUGAUCGGGGCUCAAGCUUUGUACCGAAGUCGCGGGCUUCAGUUCUCUUCGGAGCAACUGGAGCGGUAGAGGAGCAUUCCCAGGGCAUUGAAGCGGAACCGACGAGGAUCCGUGGAGCGCUGGGAAGAGAUUAUGCCGGAAUGAGUAGCGAUAAAACGGGUGAAAAACCCGUUCGCCGUAAACCCAAGGUUUCCCGGGGAAGGUUAAUCCGCCCGGGGUUAGUCGGUCCUAAGUCGAGGCCGGAUAGGCGUAGAUGAUGGAAAGCAGGUUUAAUAUUCCUGCACCGAUAGUUUCGCGUUACUAACUUGGGAAGUGCCAAGGAGGCUAAGUGAUCGCGCGGUUGGUUGUGCGCGUCCAAACCUGUAGCUCCCGCAAGGGAGUAAGGGGUGUUAGGGAGCUCGACUUACGAGAAGAGCGAACUCACUGAAGCCACACUUGCGAGAAAAGCUUCCUGAGUAAGUGGAACUAUUGACCGUACCGUAAUCGGACACACGUGGGUAGGGUGAAAAUCCUAAGGCGCUCGAGAGAAUCCUCGCUAAGGAACUAGGCAAAAUUGCCCCGUACCCUCGGUAGAAGGGGUGCCUGAGUAGGGUGAACGUCAAGGGAGCCCGAAAAGGUCGCAGUGACAUGGGCCAGCCGACUGUUUAACAAAAACACAGCUCUCUGCAAAGUCGACAAGACGACGUAUAGGGAGUGACACGUGCCCGGUGCCGGAAGGUCAAGCGGAGAGGUUAGCCCCGAGCUUUGCUCGAGGCGAAGCUUCAAAGUUAAGCCCCGGUAAACGGCGGCCGUAACUAUAACGGUCCUAAGGUAGCGAAAUUCCUUGUCGGGUAAGUUCCGACCUGCACGAAUCGUGUAACGAGUUGGCCGCUGUCUCAGCGAGGAGCUCGGUGAAAUUGUAGCAGCGGUGAAGAUGCCGCGAUCCCGCAACUAGACGGAAAGACCCCGUGCACCUUUACUGUAAGUUGGUAUUGAAUUUUGGUUUUGCGUGUGUAGCAUAGCCGGGAGACUUUGAAGCCCAGGCGCCAGCUUGGGCCGAGUCACAAUAUGAAAUACCGGUCUCAUGAAACUAGAGUUCUAACUUCGUUCCCUGAAUCGGGGCGAAAAACAGUGCCAACCUGGCAGUUUGACUGGGGCGGUCGCCUCCCAAACAGUAACGGAGGCGUUCAAAGGUCUGCUUAGUGUGGUCGGCAAUCACACGGUAAGCGCAAAAGCAUAUAGCAGGCUUGACUGCGAGACCAACAAGUCGAGCAGGGAGGAAACUCGGAUUUAGUGAUCCGGUGGUCCAAAGUUGGAAUGGCCAUCGCUCAUCGGACAAAAGGUACGCCGGGGAUAACAGGCUUAUCGGGCCCAAGAGUUCAUAUCGACGGCCCGGUUUGGCACCUCGAUGUCGGCUCAUCACAUCCUGGGGCUGGAGAAGGUCCCAAGGGUUCGGCUGUUCGCCGAUUAAAGUGGUACGUGAGCUGGGUUCAGAACGUCGUGAGACAGUUCGGUCCCUAUCUGUUGUGGGCGUAGGAAACUUGAGGAGAUCUCUUUCUAGUACGAGAGGGCCGAAAGAGACGAACCGCUCGUUUACCUGUUGUUCUGCCAAGAGCACCGCAGGGUAUCGAUGUUCGGACUGGAUAAGCGCUGAAAGCAUCUAAGCGCCAAGCCAACUCCAAGAUAAAGUUUCCCAACCGGUUUUCGGUUUAAAAGACCCCUCGAAGACUACGAGGUUGAUAGGCGGGAGGUGUAAGAGGAGCAAUCCUUUCAGCUUACCCGUACUAAUCGGUCGUUCGGCUUGACA
rnacentral:rRNA from 1 species